AGGGAGCCUCUUCAAAUGAAAGCUUCCGCACGAGGACGGGCCUGCGUCCUAUCAGCUAGUUGGCAGGGUAAAAGCCUACCAAGGCGACGACGGGUAGCUGGUCUGAGAGGAUGAUCAGCCACACUGGCACUGGAACACGGGCCAGACUCCUACGGGAGGCAGCAGUGAGGAAUUUUGCGCAAUGGGAGCAAUCCUGACGCAGCAACGCCGCGUGGGCGAUGAUGGCCUUCGGGUCGUAAAGCCCUGUCGGGCGGGAAGAAAUAUUGUGAGGUGAAUAGCCUUGCAAGUUGACGGUACCGCCAGAGGAAGCACCGGCUAACUCCGUGCCAGCAGCCGCGGUAAUACGGAGGGUGCGAGCGUUAUUCGGAAUUACUGGGCGUAAAGCGCGUGCAGGCGGGAGGAUAAGUCUGAUGUGAAAGCCCGGGGCUCAACCCCGGAAGAGCAUUGGAAACUAUUUUUCUUGAGUCCUGGAGAGGAAGGGGGAAUUCCCGGUGUAGAGGUGAAAUUCGUAGAGAUCGGGAGGAAUACCAGUGGCGAAGGCGCCCUUCUGGACAGAGACUGACGCUGAGACGCGAAAGCAUGGGGAGCAAACAGGAUUAGAUACCCUGGUAGUCCACGCUGUAAACGAUGAUCACUGGGUGUAGCGGGUACUCAUUCCUGCUGUGCCGCAGCUAACGCGUUAAGUGAUCCGCCUGGGGACUACGGUCGCAAGACUAAAACUCAAGGAAUUGACGGGGGCCCGCACAAGCAGCGGAGCAUGUUCUUUAAUUCGAUGCACGCGAAGAACCUUACCUGGACUUGACA
rnacentral:rRNA from 1 species